AUCCUACGGGGGGCAGCAGUGGGGAAUAUUGGGCAAUGGGCGCAAGCCUGACCCAGCAACGCCGCGUGAAGGAAGAAGGCUUUCGGGUUGUAAACUUCUUUUGUCAGGGACGAAGCAAGUGACGGUACCUGACGAAUAAGCCACGGCUAACUACGUGCCAGCAGCCGCGGUAAUACGUAGGUGGCAAGCGUUAUCCGGAUUUACUGGGUGUAAAGGGCGUGUAGGCGGGACUGCAAGUCAGAUGUGAAAACCACGGGCUCAACCCGUGGCCUGCAUUGGGAACUACCGGGCUGGAGUGCCGGAGG
rnacentral:rRNA from 1 species